AGGGGGAGGAGACCAGAGGUUAUAACUGUAACUGUUGUGUGGAGUUCUUUAGAUCAGCCUUUAGCAUAGGACUGCAUAGGAAUGCAGUGUGCUGAUCUCCAGGUGCAUCUGUCAGAAUAAUGGGUAAUAAAAGGAUUGUGUAAAACAUGGAAACAUCUCAGCGUGAUCUCUACCAGGACCAAAAGAAUGGCAGAGACCGGCGUUGUCUCAACACAUGUAGUUGCAAACUCGUGAUGGUCAUCAUCAGAAUCAGCUCAGAUCCAGAUCACGCAAAAAACUAAUUUGCGUGUCUUUUCAACAGUUUACAUAGAGAGGCACGUCACGUCAUUUCAGAGAACAGGGCCUCGUGGAUCCACUCCCACGUACUGGCCUCUCGGCCCCCAACAAAGACAUAACACUGCUGGAUUAUUGUAUAGCUUUUAUAUAUGUGUAAUAAAACUCUAUGAUGUUGACAUAACACAGCUUUUGCAGGUGUUGUCCUCAAUGUGGGACUGUUUUGGCUUCUGACUCAUAGCUACUGUGUUUCAGCUACUGCUUUGCCUACAUACAUACAAUACAAAUGAAACAUAUUAAGAAAGUCACGUCCUCCUUCACAUUUUCAAAAAUUCUUAAAGCAAACGUAUGGGCACUGUGGACCAGCUGGUGCAGGUAAAUGCAGUUAAUUCAACCCUGCUGAUACAAUUUACAGAAGGCUGAAUUACUCCACUGCAAUCUAUCACCCUGUUGGGCAGACACGCCCAUAUUAACACUUUGGACCUAAACUUGCUCAUAAAAUGAUCACCAAUUGGCUUUUACAUGACUUCUAAACUAGAAACACUUAACUCCAUGAUGAUGUUGCUCAUUGAUAGCCUCAUAUAAAUAUCUGGAUUAUCACCCUUCAUCUUCACACGUAGCAGAGCUUGUUGUUCUGGUUUCAUUUACCAGGAAAGCAAAGCAUAAAGGGAGCUACGACUGUCCUCACACAAACAGCAGCAGCAGACUUACACAGGAUGAAGAUGUUUGGAAGAAUGAUGAGCUGCUGUGUGGCUCUCCUCCUGACCUUCAGCUCUGUGUCAGCUGUAAGAAAGCUCAACUCAAUCACUGAUCUGAGGUCAGUAGGCUCUGACAUAUCUUCCCAAGAGGACUGCCUCUGCUUCCUCCACUGGUUUGCCAACACAGUUGACAUCAACACAAACGAUGACAUACGUCUGACCUUUAGCCCAACCCUUCGUGAUUAUGGCUCACAUCAUUAUCGGAACGAUGAACAGCUGUUAGAGCCACUGCCGGGGGGAUAUCAGUACUACAGUCUUGGUAAUAUCCAUGGAGAAGGAUCAUUGCAACUUCCACCUCAGGUCAUCCAAUCGGAGCAAGAUGACGGUAACAGGGCUCGGAUCAUAAUCAGAGUCAGGGAGCAGAAUGUGGGACGGCGAACUUCACGGAUAAUAGACCGAGUCUAUAUCACACAGCAUUAUGAGGCAGCUGAAUGUCAAGGGAGCGCGUAUGAUCCAGAACAUACAUAUGGGAUCACUACUAGCCUCUUAAGAGCAAUCAGGAGGUUUUCCAUGGACAGUGAUGACAUCAAUUUACUGAUGUCUCUCAGAAACCGCUAUAGAAGCGACGCUGAUGACUUCCAGCUAUCAGAGAUAAGAAACGAGUGGGGUGACCUCGCUUGUCUUGGACUGUUGGUGUUUAUUGUGAUACAACACACGUCAGCAUGAUGUGCUCCGUAGCUCACAGAGUCGUCAAAACGAUGCUUUUGCCUUUUCAGAAAGAAAUACAGUGUACCCCUUUGGCCUCUCCCGUUUUCUACAAUUCGCCUGUGAGAAAGGUUGGUGUCAUUUCUUUCCAGACACUGUACAACACACAUAUAAUGUAUAUUUAUCCACCCUGAUGUUUCUGAUUGUGAUUUUAGUUCAAUUAUUGUCAUCAUUGUGCCUGUUUUUGUUAGAUGCUAUAAAUGUCUAGUAUGUGUGUGCCACAAAUGUGUUUUAGGCGCUGUUAACACUAGCAUGAAUAUAUAAUAUAUAUUAUAUAUAUACAUAUAAUUCUGGCUAGCUUGUGUGGAAAAUACAUUAUUAGAUAAGAGGGCUUUUAUUAGUAACAUGUUAAUCUAUUAAAGCUAUUGAACACGCCUUCAAAAAAAGCAUUAAAAAAGCAUUUUGCUUGUAACUUGUAGACGUGCCUGCUUAGCUACAGUUAAGUACAGGAUGUGCUCCGGUCAGGUAGGAAAAGAAUAGAACGACAGGAAAUAUCUGCAGUCUAAGAUGACUGAAAAUAGUUCUUUAAUACAUACAGAUAUAGGAAGUGUCUAAAGGUCACUAACUGUAAUAGACGUAUGAUAUGAUAUGAUAUGAUAUGUUUUUUGCUUACGCAUUAAGAGGCUGAACCUGAUAUACAAAAACAGUCUGAUGUGUUUUAUAGUUGAGAUCUAUGCAGACGGUGACGUUGUGUACUUCUCCCACACGUGUGUUUAAUACAUCAGUUUUUUGACUCUA